rnacentral:misc_RNA from 1 species
UAUGCAUUCUCCAUCAACACAGACACUAUGUGAGGAAAUGAAAUGGUGGACACUUGGUCUCUUGCAUCAAAACUCAAACAAAAAUUAUGGAACAUGCUAUUUAUUAUUUAAUAAACUUAGCAUUGCAAAGUUUAAAAAUGAAAGAAACUUGAUCUAUGAGAAAUUUCUAUAAAAGUAUUGUCAUGUGAGGGCAUAAGUAAUGAAGGGAGAAAAUGAAAAAAAAAAUGUUAGAGCUGGAAAUUUCCAAUUUCAGGAAGUUCCACCCAUAACUAAGGUGCAUCAGUCGAUCACACAACAGCCACCUCAAAGAUACAAAUUUUUAUUAAGCACAGGUAUCAUAUUCUUUCAAGAAAAAUUAGGA